rnacentral:rRNA from 1 species
UACGGAGGGUGCAAGCGUUAUCCGGAUUCACUGGGUUUAAAGGGUGCGUAGGUGGGCAGUUAAGCUCGAGUGGAUGAAAUCUCCGAGCUUAACUUGGAACUGCCGUUGAUACUAUCUGUCUUGAAUAUUGUGGAGGUGAGCGGAAUAUGUCAUGUAGCGGUGAAAUGCUUAGAUAUGACAUAGAACACCAAUUGCGAAGGCAGCUCGCUACACAUAUAUUGACUCUGAGGCACGAAAGCGUGGGGAUCAAACAGG